rnacentral:rRNA from 1 species
UGUGCCCUACGGGGCGCAGCAGUGGGGAAUCUUGCGCAAUGGAGGAAACUCUGACGCAGUGACGCCGUGUAUAGGAAGAAGGUUUUCGGAUUGUAAACUAUUGUCGUGAGGGAAGAAAUUGACAGUACCUCAGGAGGAAGCUCCGGCUAACUAUGUGCCAGCAGCCGCGGUAAUACAUAGGGAGCAAGCGUUAUCCGGAUUUAUUGGGUGUAAAGGGUGCGUAGACGGGAAAUUAAGUUAGUUGUGAAAUCCCUCGGCUUAACUGAGGAACUGCAACUAAAACUGAUUUUCUUGAGUACUGGAGA